rnacentral:rRNA from 1 species
GAUGAACGCUGGCGGCGUGCCUAAUACAUGCAAGUCGAGCGAACGGACGAGAAGCUUGCUUCUCUGAUGUUAGCGGCGGACGGGUGAGCAACACGUGGAUAACCUACCUAUAAGACUGGGAUAACUUCGGGAAACCGGAGCUAAUACCGGAUGAUAUUUUGAACCGCAUGGUUCAAAAGUGAAAGACGGUCUUGCUGUCACUUAUAGAUGGAUCCGCGCUGCAUUAGCUAGUUGGUAAGGUAACGGCUUACCAAGGCAACGAUGCAUAGCCGACCUGAGAGGGGGACGGGCCACACGGAACCUAGAAACCGGCCCAACCCCCAAGGGGGGGACGAGGUGGGAAAUUUUCCGCAAGGGGGGAAAGCCUGACGGGGAAACCCCCGGGAGGGGAUAAAGGUUUUGGGAUCUAAAAACUUGGUUUUUGGGGAAAAAAAAUUGGGAAAGUAACGUGCACAAUUUGGAGGGUCCCAAACAAAAAAGCCCCGGCAAACUCCGG